AAAGAUCACAAUGGGGCUUUUGAGAUAGCAGCUGUGGAAGUUACUUCUUAAGUUUCUGAGAAUCGCUGAGCAGCUUCUGUGGUCAGUCCAGGGUGUGUGCAGAAAUCCCACCCUGCAGGGGCUCCCAUCACAAACUGCUGGCCUUAGUGGUUGUCUGAAGGAAGUUUGAGACCUGAUGCCGUUGGGUCGCUGUGUGUCCUUCUGCCACUCACUUCAUUGUUCUCUUUCCACUUCAGGCAGGUGGUGAUAAUCCUUGGGUUCCAGCCCAAGCUGGGGCACUUCGCUCUCUCCCCUACAUGGUCCAUGAUCAAGGUUCCUGGGGACAGACUCCAGAUUUUCCUUUGGGGCCCAGCACCCGCUCUCCCAUCCCAGACUGCAGAUUUGGGAUAGGGCUGAUCUCACGCCCUAACUCUAGGGGUGGGCCUUGAUGCAGACCUGGCCGACAAGAUACCACUGUAAUUGGCUGGGGGAUGGGCCCAUCAGAGCCAGCAAGUGCCAGCUCUAAGACUUUGGCUGAAAGUUCUAUGCAAGAGGGAUUUUCUCUCUGGUGGGGUUGCUAAGCCACAGGAGGCAAGCCUUGAGCUUCCGGAGACUAUCUUGUCAUCACAGAGGGAGGGCCUGUCUGGAAAGAAGCCAGAACAUAGCCAAGACAUGGAGAGAGGCUGGUUUCUAAAUUGAGCACCUGAAUCCAGCCAUACCUGAAGCAGGAGUCAAUUAUAUGAGUCAAUGAAUUUCCAUUUGGUGUCAGCCAGUUUGCGCUGGGUUUCUGUCACUCCUGACUAUUCUAUUGCCUCCACUCAUACUCCUGUGCAACAUAACUGCUGCAUAAGAGCUGGAAUCAUCUUUCCACAACACAAAUUUGACCUUGUCACAACUGUUUAAAGCCGUGCGAGGCUCCCCAGUCCCCUCAGGAUAAAGCCUGAACUCCUUAGCCUGGUGUUCAAGCCCCAGAUCUGUCAAUGGCAGCCUCCUUUCCCACUUUGUCCAUCAAGGACAUUAUAUUUAGCUAUACACUCCCCUGUCACUACACCUUUGUGCCCUUCCUCAUGCUGUUCCCUCAGCUCAAAUGCCUGCCCCCAUUGAACUUCACCUUCCAUGCUCAGUUCCAAGGUAAUUUCCAAUGGAGCUGGGUUGGGUUUUGCACAUUGAAAUUACUUGCUCAUAGAACUACCAGGAGUGUGCAUUAUAAAUGCAGUUCCCCCCAACUACUGGGCUGGAUUCUCUGGGGUGGGGGCCAGGAAUGUUUUUUUUUUUUUUUUGAGACAGAGUCUCACUCUGUUGCCCAGGCUGGAGUGCAGUGGCAUGAUUUUGGCUCACUGCAAAAUCUGCAUCCUGGGUUCAAACGAUUCUCCCACCUCAGCCUCUCGAGUAGCUUUGAUUAUAGGUGCCCACCACCAGGCCCGGCUAAUUUUUGUAGUUUUAGCAGAGACAAGGUUUCACCAUGUUGGCCAAGCUGGUCUUGAACUCCUGACCUCAGGUUAUCCAUCUGCCUCAGCCUCCCAAAGUGCUGGGAUUACAGGUGUGAACAACUGUUCCCUGCCGAAUCUCUGAUUUUAAUAAGACCCCUGAGCAUCUUCCUGUCUCCCCCACUGCCCCAUGUGUUUUCCUCCUCUGAGCCUCAUUUGUCUGUAAAAUGGAUAUGAGAAAUCUACCUGGAAAGGCAGCUGGGGGGAUGAAGUGCGACAAUGUAUAUAAGCCUGUCGAGGGACACUUAAUCAGGGCUCCAGAGUGAUUAUGAUGGUCAUUAGGGUUAUGCUGUCUUGCAGGGCAACUCAUUGUCCCCAUUUGCCCAGGACAGAGGGGUUUCUUUGAAUGUGAGACUUUCAGUUUUGAAACUGGGAAAGGUCUCAGGUGAACCAGGAUGAGUUGGUUACCCUGCAUCCCCUUCUUUCUUUUCCCUGGGACAAAGAUCUUGCUUGCCUGCCCUGACCCCACUGUUCAGUAGGAAUCACUAAAUCUGGCACCACAACGGAAAGGCAGGGAACUCCAGGAACAAAAGGACCAACCAGUUUUGAAAAUACUAAGGACUGGCGUUUUCCUUCCAGCAGUGACGUGGUCUGUAUGUUAACCUUGUCCCACGGCACAGGUCACGUUGUGACACUCCACGACCUCUCAGCCCCACCCAUGUGCGUGGUGGGGCCAAGAAAGCCAUGUUGGCCACAGUCUGGCUUGUGUUUUCUCAGUUCUGGACACUCCAGACUAUACAUCUGAAUAUUCCUUUUGGUAGAGUCUAGGAGAUUUUAUUUAUUUAUUUUUUUUCUGCACUGAGUUCCUGGAUUUAUUUUGAGCCGAACGGCUCCUCACCCAAACUCCCCUGCCUCCUUUCAAAACCCAAGGCCACGUCCAACCUCACAGGCCCAAACCACGCUUACAUAACCCGCAGUGACACUAAGUGUUUGUGAGGCCUGCUGAAGUGGGGCUGGGGCUGCCUGCUCUGGAGCACAGGGGACAUUUUGUCCUGCAAAAUGAUGCUGUUUGGGGCGUGUGCGUGAGCGCGUGUUUUUCCCCUCCUGAAGUUCAAAAACAACUCCUUUUGCUCAAACUGUCAAAAAAGAGAAGAAGAAGAAAAAAAAGAAGAAGAAAGUCUGCAAUAAUUUCAGUGUUGGGCCCAGAUCAAGAAUUGCAAACACUAAGAUAAUAUUUUCCAAAGUUACCAGGCGAGUAGGAGUCGCCGAGUUACGGGAAAUUGGAGGCUGACCUGGUGUAACUUCCAGGGGCCCCGUCUCCUGGCUGCUUCCUCAACGGUGGUGGGCUUUUUCCUGUGAUCAUUACAGCUCACCGUGAUCUUGUCCUUACUACAUGCCAGGUUCCAGAGAGCUUUUCCUGACCACGCUGAGAGGGAGGUGUGACUACGGAAGAAUGGCUGGAGAGAGGCAACGCUGCUUGGCUUUGAAGAUGGAAGGAGAAAGCCAGGAGCUAAGGAAUGCAGUAACCUCCAGGAUCUGGAAGAGGCAAGAGGACAGGAGCUCCUCUAGAGUCUCUGGAAAGGAGCACAGCCCCAGCACCUCGAUUUUAGCCCAGUCUGACCCAUGGCUGCCUUCAGACCUCCGGAACUGUCAAUUCAUAAAUUGGUUUUGUUUUAAGCCUUA